GGCCGUGUGGCGAAAUGGCAUCGCGUCUGACUACGAUUUGUUCAUCAGGAGAUUGCAGGUUCGACCCCUGUCUCGGUCA